GCGAGUGUGAGCGAAUCCCAAAAAUAACGUCUCAGUUCGGAUUGUAGUCUGCAACUCGACUACAUGAAGCUGGAAUCGCUAGUAAUCGCGAAUCAGAAUGUCGCGGUGAAUACGUUCCCGGGUCUUGUACACACCGCCCGUCACACCAUGGGAGUCGGAAAUGCCCGAAGCCGGUGACCCAACCAAAAGGAGGGAGCCGUCGAAGGCAGGUCUGAUAACUGGGGUGAAGUCGUAACAAGGUAGC
rnacentral:rRNA from 1 species